rnacentral:rRNA from 1 species
CCUAGUAAAAAAGCUAGAAUUACAACAUAAGACCAGAAGACCCUGUGAAGCUUAAAUAAAACUAUUAAACCACAUAAUAACUACUUUCGGUUGGGGCGACCUUGGAAAAAAAAAGAACUUCCAAAUAAAAUGAAUAUACCUCAUUAUCUAAAUCAGGCCAACAAGCCAAAAAUGACCCAGCAUGGCUGAUAAUUGAACCAAGUUACUCCAGGGAUAACAGCGCAAUCUUCUUCAAGAGCCCAUAUCAAAAAGAAGGUUUACGACCUCGAUGUUGGAUCAGGACAUCCUAAUGGUGCAGCCGCUAUUAAGGGUUCGUUUGUUCAACGAUUAAUA